AGCCCUUUGUCGCUAAGAUUCGA
rnacentral:sRNA from 1 species